CCUACGGGAGGCAGCAGUGGGGAAUAUUGGACAAUGGGCGCAAGCCUGACGCAGCAACGCCGCGUGAAGGAAGAAGGCUUUCGGGUUGUAAAGUUCUUUUCUCAGGGACGAAGCAGGUGACGGUACCUGAGGAAUAAGCCACUGCUAACUACGUGGCAGCAGCCGCGGUAAUACGUAGGUGGCAAGCGUUCUCCGGAUUUACUGGGUGUAAAGGGAGAGUAGGCGGGAAAGCAAGUCAGAUGUGAAAACCAUGGGCUCAACCUGGGGCCUGCAUUUGAAACUGUGUUUAUUGAGUGCUGGAGAGGCAGACGGAAUUCCUAGUGUAGCGGUGAAAUGCGUAGAUAUUAGGAGGAACACCAGUGGCGAAGGCGGUCUGCUGGACAGCAACUGACGCUGAGGCGCGAAAGCGUGGGGAGCAAACAGGAUUAGAUACCCUUGUAGUC
rnacentral:rRNA from 1 species